rnacentral:rRNA from 1 species
UGGAAACGACUGCUAAUACCGCAUAAGCCCACGGGUCGGCAUCGACCAGAGGGAAAAGGAGCAAUCCGCUUUGAGAUGGCCUCGCGUCCGAUUAGCUAGUUGGUGAGGUAAUGGCCCACCAAGGCAACGAUCGGUAGCCGGACUGAGAGGUUGAACGGCCACAUUGGGACUGAGACACGGCCCAGACUCCUACGGGAGGCAGCAUG